rnacentral:rRNA from 1 species
UCGAACUGGAGAGUUUGAUCCUGGCUCAGAGCGAACGCUAGCGGCGGGCUUAACACAUGCAAGUCGAACGCUUCACUUCGGUGAGGCGUGGCGGACGGGUGAGUAACACGUAGGUUACC